GUGGGGAAUAUUGGACAAUGGGCGCAAGCCUGAUCCAGCCAUGCCGCGUGAGUGAUGAAGGCCCUAGGGUUGUAAAGCUCUUUCACCGAUGAAGAUAAUGACGGUAGUCGGAGAAGAAGCCCCGGCUAACUUCGUGCCAGCAGCCGCGGUAAUACGAAGGGGGCUAGCGUUGUUCGGAAUUACUGGGCGUAAAGCGCACGUAGGCGGAUAUUUAAGUCAGGGGUGAAAUCCCAGAGCUCAACUCUGGAACUGCCUUUGAUACUGGGUAUCUCGAGUAUGGAAGAGGUGAGUGGAAUUCCGAGUGUAGAGGUGAAAUUCGUAGAUAUUCGGAGGAACACCAGUGGCGAAGGCGGCUCACUGGUCCAUUACUGACGCUGAGGUGCGAAAGCGUGGGGAGCAAACAGGAUUAGAAACCCUUGUAGUCC
rnacentral:rRNA from 1 species